UAACGCGUGAGGAACCUGCCUUCCAGAGGGGGACAACAGUUGGAAACGACUGCUAAUACCGCAUGACACAUGACCGUGGCAUCACGGACAUGUCAAAGAUUUAUUCGCUGGAAGAUGGCCUCGCGUCUGAUUAGCUGGUAGGCGGGGUAACGGCCCACCUAGGCGACGAUCAGUAGCCGGACUGAGAGGUUGACCGGCCACAUUGGGACUGAGAUACGGCCCAGACUCCUACGGGAGGCAGCAG
rnacentral:rRNA from 1 species